UAAUGGUAAGGUAUCCUUGAUUAAAUGU
rnacentral:sRNA from 1 species